CAGUAGCCGCGGGAAUACGAAGGGUGCAAGCGUUAAUCGGAAUUACUGGGCGUAAAGCGCGCGUAGGCGGUUUGUUAAGUCUGUUGUGAAGUCCCCGGGCUCAACCUGGGAAUGGCAAUGGAUACUGGCAAGCUAGAGUGUGUCAGAGGAUGGUGGAAUUCCCGGUGUAGCGGUGAAAUGCGUAGAGAUCGGGAGGAACAUCAGUGGCGAAGGCGGCCAUCUGGGACAACACUGACGCUGAGGCACGAAAGCGUGGGGAGCAAACAGGAUUAGAUACCCCCGUAGUCCCUGUCUCUUAUAC
rnacentral:rRNA from 1 species